rnacentral:rRNA from 1 species
GAUGAACGCUGGCGGCGUGCCUAAUACAUGCAAGUCGAGCGAACAGAUGAGGAGCUUGCUCCUCUGACGUUAGCGGCGGACGGGUGAGUAACACGUGGAUAACCUACCUAUAAGACUGGGAUAACUUCGGGAAACCGGAGCCAAUACCGGAUAAUAUAUUGAACCGCAUGGUUCAAUAGUGAAAGACGGUUUUGCUGUCACUUAUAGAUGGAUCCGCGCCGCAUUAGCUAGUUGGUAAGGUAACGGCCUACCAAGGCAACGAUGCGUAGCCGACCUGAGAGGGUGAUCGGCCACACUGGAACUGAGACACGGUCCAGACUCCUACGGGAGGCAGCAGUAGGGAAUCUUCCGCAAUGGGCGAAAGCCUGACGGAGCAACGCCGCGUGAGUGAUGAAGGUCUUCGGAUCGUAAAACUCUGUUAUUAGGGAAGAACAAAUGUGUAAGUAACUAUGCACGUCUUGACGGUACCUAAUCAGAAAGCCACGGCUAACUACGUG